rnacentral:lncRNA from 1 species
UUUUUUUUUUUUUUUUUUUUUUUUUAAUAGCAUGAAGUUAGUAUCAGCUACAGUACUGUUGGGGAAAGAUAAAAUUCUGAUAUUUCAGUCUUUUUGGCUUAAGGACAAAACAAAGAGUUUAGGUAAUGAUGGUCCUUGGAAAGUGAGUGUAUUUUGGAAAGGAAAGCCAUCGAUGUCGAGCCCACAACCUGCUUUAUAAACUGUGCCCAAGUUUCUAAGUGACCCUUGAAACAUGCAAGCUCUGAGCACACUACCACCAGCCUAGUGAAGGAGGGGGGGAAUAACAGAAAACAAACACAUACAAAAAUGAGAUUGGAGUCAAAAUGUCAACCAAAUAUUAAAGCAAAAGACAUUUUCAGAUGAAAGGAAAUCAAGAGAAGUCCUCACCAGCAGAUAUGCAGUAUAAGAAACACUGAGAAUGUUCUUAAGAUGAAGGGAAAUCAUAUCAGACGGAAAAUUGAAUCUCCAGAAAUAAAUGAACAGCAUCAGAAACAGCAUGUAUUGUAGUAGAUAUAAAAGAUUUUUCCUCUUAGUUCCAAUAAUAUUCAUAAGUCCUUUCAAAGCAAAUCGGAUAGUAUGGAUAUAUGGACCUGAUGCAUAUGACCUGGGUGGCAUAAAGGGCAGUGAGAUUGGAAUAUGGAUCUAAGCAGUGGCAAGGUACCUGUAUUUCAUAUAAAGUAGAAUAAUUUACCAAAGUGUAUUAUGAAAAGUUAAGGAGGAAUAUUGUAAUACUCAGGAUAACUAAUCGUAAUAUUCACCAAGUAGGCAUAGCUAUAAAAAACUAACAAGGAACUCUAAAAUAAUUAAUAAUUAAAAAAAGGAGGAGGAACAGAAAGAAAAACUAGAGGGAAUAAACAAAGGAAAUUUAAAAAACAGUAAGUAUAAAUAUAGCCAUAGUAAUAAUUACAUUUAAUAUUAAAGAAAUAAAAAUCUGGGCAGCCUGGGUGGCUCAGCGGUUUAGCGCCGCCUUCAGCUCAGGGUGUGAUCCUGGAGACCCAAGAUCGAGUCCCAUGUUGGGCUCCCUGCAUGGAGCCUGCUUCUCCCUCUGCCUGUGUCUCUGCCUCUCUCUCUCUCUCUCUCUCUCUCCCUCUCUCUCUCUCUCCCUCCCUCUCUCUCUCUGUGUCUCUCAUAAUAAAUAAAUAAAAUCUUUAAAAAAAGAAAAAUGGACAAUACAGGAAGUUCUAAUUAUGUACUAUGCGUCAGAAAUGUCUUUUAAAUAUAAAGAGACAGAUCAUUUGAAAAUAACUUGAGGGAAAAUUCUAUACCAUACAAACCAAAAGAAUAAGAAAGAUGGAGUGGCUACGUUAAUAUCAGAUAAAAUAAACUUCCAAAACAAAAAGUAGCUUCUGAGAUAAAGGGGAACAAUGUUUACAAUGAUAAAAGGAAGAGUAUAGUACCUGACCUAAAAUCUUAUUAUAAAACUGUAUUAAUUGAGACAAAGUAGUAUUGGCAUAAAGAUUAAUAAAUAGAUCAGUAAGCUAGAGUAGAGAGCGCAGAAAUAGAUCCCCACUUUUACAAUCAUUUGAUUUUUAACAAAGACAUCAAAUCAAUCUGAUAGAGAAAGGAACACCUUUUCAACAACUCUGCUGGCAUAAUGGGAUGCCCACAGAGAAAAAGCAAAAAAGUAAAUAAAAUUCAAAUUUAACUUUACUUUAAACUUUACACAAAAAUAAUGAGAUUAACUAUAAAUUAGCCACAAUGCUUUAAGAAAAACAUGACAUGAUCUUUGUGAUUUGGAAGUUUACCUAGAGCAAUCAUAGAAGGAUAUAUUUAUACACACACGAUUAUUUCUAUAUAUAAUGAUUAUAUAUAAUCUAUAUGUAUAUGAUAGAUUAUAUAUAAUUUAUAUAAGAAUAUCACAUCUAUAUAAAGAUUAUAUAGACAUAUAUUGCAAAUGAUAAUUAGACUUUAUCAGAAUUAAACUCUCCUGGUUCAUCAAAUUAUACCAUUUAAGAAAUUUGAAAAAAAAAAAAACAAGUCACACACUAGGAUAAAAUUAUCUGUAGAGUAUCUAUCUGACAAGGAUUUAUAACAUAUGGCUAUACUGAUUUACAACUUAGAAUACUUACGAGUUGAUAAUAUCAAUACAAACAACCCAAUAAAAUAAGUGUAAAUUUUAGCACUUUGUCAAAAAAUAUACAAUGUCCAGUAAAUACAUGCAGAAUUACUCAACAUAAUUAGACAUUAAGAAAUGCAAUUUAAGACCCUAAUGAAAUGCCACCUCAUAUCUGCCAGAAUUACUAACAUGGUAAAGAUAAAGAGCAACUGGAUAUUACAUAGCUUGGUGCAUGUGCAAAAAAUGGCCACAUCUUUAGGGGAAGUUAUAACCGUUUCUUAUAAAAUUGAACAUAAACAUUUAAACAUGUCUUUUUUUUUUAUAAGAAACCCACAAGAGGAAGUUUCUUUUUUUUAAAAUUUUUUUUAUUUAUUUAUGAUAGUCACAGAGAGAGAAAGAGAGGCAGAGACAUAGGCAGAGGGAGAAGCAGGCUCCAUGCACCGGGAGCCCGAUGUGGGAUUCGAUCCCGGGUCUCCAGGAUCACGCCCUGGGCCAAAGGCAGGCACCAAACUGCUGUGCCACACAGGGAUCCCCCAUUUAAACAUUUCUUAUAAAAUCCUACACUCUGAUCUAGCGGUUCCACUAAUUGGUAGUUACCCAAGAAAAUGGAAAAUGUAUUACACAGAUUUGUGCAGAAGC